AACCUCCGCAAUGUGAGAAAUCGCGACGGGGGGAUCCCAAGUGCCAUUCUUAACGGGAUGGCUUUUCAUUAGUGUAAAGAGCUUUUGGAAUAAGAGCUGGGCAAGACCGGUGCCAGCCGCCGCGGUAACACCGGCAGCUCUAGUGGUAGCAAUUUUUAUUGGGCCUAAAGCGUUCGUAGCCGGUUUGAUAAGUCACUGGUGAAAUCCUGUAGCUUAACUGUGGGAAUUGCUGGUGAUACUGUUGAACUUGAGGUCGGGAGAGGUUAGCGGUACUCCCAGGGUAGAGGUGAAAUUCUGUAAUCCUGGGAGGACCACCUGUGGCGAAGGCGGCUAACUGGAACGAACCUGACGGUGAGGGACGAAAGCUAGGGGCGCGAACCGGAUUAGAUACCCGGGUAGUCCUAACUGUAAACGAUGCGGACUUGGUGUUGGGGUGGCUUUGAGCUGCUCCAGUGCCGAAGGGAAGCUGUUAAGUCCGCCGCCUGGGAAGUACGGUCGCAAGACUGAAACUUAAAGGAAGU
rnacentral:rRNA from 1 species